GCCAGCAGCCAUAUCACCCUGCAGCUCUCAACUGGGAGCCCACUGGAGCUCAGCAGGGUUGAGCCAGGUCAGUACCUGGAUGGGAGACCCUCUGGGAAGCAAUGGCUGCUGCUGGAA
rnacentral:rRNA from 1 species